rnacentral:rRNA from 1 species
GACGAACGCUGGCGGCAGGCUUAACACAUGCAAGUCGAACGCCCCGCAAGGGGAGUGGCAGACGGGUGAGCAACGCGUGGGAAUCUACCCAACUCUACGGAAUAACUCAGGGAAACUUGUGCUAAUACCGUAUACGCCCUUCGGGGGAAAGAUUUAUCGGAGUUGGAUGAGCCCGCGUUGGAUUAGCUAGUUGGUGGGGUAAAGGCCUACCAAGGCGACGAUCCAUAGCUGGUCUGAGAGGAUGAUCAGCCACAUUGGGACUGAGACACGGCCCAAACUCCUACGGGAGGCAGCAGUGGGGAAUAUUGGACAAUGGGCGCAAGCCUGAUCCAGCCAUGCCGCGUGAGUGAUGAAGGCCCUAGGGUUGUAAAGCUCUUUCACCGGUGAAGAUAAUGACGGUAACCGGAGAAGAAGCCCCGGCUAACUUCGUGCCAGCCGCCGCGGUAAAAC